rnacentral:tRNA from 1 species
CUAGAUUGGUGGGCUAUCAUCCCACGAAACUUUAGUUAACAGCUAAAUACCCUAGGCAACUGGCUUCAAUCUA